GGCGUGGUGCCAGAGUGGUUAAUGGGUAUGACUCGAAUGGCAUAACUGCCUAUAGAUAUCAUAUGGUUUCGGCCGCGUAGGUUCAAAUCCUGCCCACGUCG
rfam:Pseudogymnoascus pannorum VKM F-4516 (FW-969) contig_1545, whole genome shotgun sequence.